rnacentral:rRNA from 1 species
AUACGGGGGGUGCAAGCGUUAUUCGGAUUUAUUGGGCGUAAAGGGCGCGUAGGCGGCUUGGUAAGUCAGAUGUGAAAGCCCGGGGCUCAACCCCGGAAGUGCAUUUGAAACUAUCAGGCUUGAGUAUGGGAGAGGGAAGUGGAAUUCCUGGUGUAGAGGUGAAAUUCGUAGAUAUCAGGAGGAACACCGGUGGCGAAGGCGACUUCCUGGACCAAUACUGACGCUGAGGCGCGAAGGCGUGGGGAGCAAACAGGAUUAGAAACCCUGGUAGUCC